rnacentral:rRNA from 1 species
UACGUAGGGGGGCAAGCGUUGUCCGGAAUCAUUGGGCGUAAAGCGCGUGUAGGCGGCCCGGUAAGUCCGCUGUGAAAGUCGGGGGCUCAACCCUCGAAUGCCGGUGGAUACUGUCGGGCUAGAGUGCGGGAGAGGCGAGUGGAAUUCCUGGUGUAGCGGUGAAAUGCGCAGAUAUCGGGAGGAACACCAAUUGCGAAGGCAGCUCGCUGGAACGUAACUGACGCUGAGACGCGAAAGCGUGGGGAGCAAACAGG